UACGGGGGGGGCAAGCGUUGUUCGGAAUUACUGGGCGUAAAGGGCUCGUAGGUGGCCAACUAAGUCGGACGUGAAAUCCCUCAGCUUAACUGGGGAACUGCGUCCGAUACUGGAUGGCUCGAGUUUGGGAGAGGGAUGCGGAAUUCCAGGUGUAGCGGUGAAAUGCGUAGAUAUCUGGAGGAACACCGGUGGCGAAGGCGGCAUCCUGGACCGGCAUUGACGCUGAGGCGCGAAAGUCAGGGGAGCAAACGGG
rnacentral:rRNA from 1 species